UCAAAACAACCUAUUUAUAUAUAGGAUGAGGAAUGAUUAGAUUUCAAAUUAUGAAAUCGUAUGUGAUUAAUUAUAUAAAACAUUCACGAAUUCAUUAACCAAAACUUGCUCUCCGAGAUUAUCGCCCAAAUUACCUUAACAGACCAUAACCAUAUUGAUCACGUAAUUUGAUGUAAAUAAAAAGAUUUUGUUCUUCAACUUACUUUACAUACAGACACGGAUCACGCAAAUUCAGUAAUGGAAAGAAAAAUAAUUUAAAGAUUUAAUAAAGUUAAGGAC
rnacentral:lncRNA from 1 species